AUAUUUAAAGUUUAGAUUCCUCAAGGUUGUUGAUAAGACUGGAGGAACUGGAGUGAAUUUCCAGUCCUGUUCAACCAGAGAGGGAAAAUGAGGCAGAAUUAUUUCAGUGCAGCCACUUCUCCACAGAUCUAUUCUUAUAUACAGUUUAUUUCACUAGAGAUUUUAAAUUUAUACAUAGUAUAAAGGGGUAUUCUGGUAUCACACAUAGUUAUUUUACUGUACUGUUUAAGAACCAAUUUUUUACAUAAUACAGUAUUAAGUACCAUGUUAAUUAAAACAAGUGAUUUUUUUAAAAAAAACUACAUAUAAAUGGAUGUUUAUCAUAUGCACAGUGCAAGAACGGCUUGAUAUCAUUGUAAUCACAAAAUGUGAAUCUAAAAUACAACACUGUGAUUGAAAACUAAUUGAUGAUUAUGAUGCCCUGUGUUGUAGACAUUGAUUAAUCUUUGUUUGAAUUACCAAGCAAGGUUAAAAUUCCAGACAAACAGCAGCAGCUUCUCAUUAUGGUUUCAAGGUUUCUUCCACAGUAACCCAAGUUUUACAAAACACUGGUUUAUCCCUACUUGUGGUCUAAGGAAACAGAAGAAUGGCACAGAUUCCAUCUGGGAUUAUCUGGUAACUAAUGCUAAAGAAAUUCUUUAUUACUUCCACACAGGAAUCCUUUAAGGAUGAGCGAAGAGAUGAGAUGGAGAAGUUUCUGGGCAGAAUUCUCCGAAUUUUAGUAAGAGAGUACAGGAUUUCUCCUCUGCAAAUAGGAAGACAAUACUGGAAUAGAAAUCAGGCUGUAAUAUUUACAGGAAGCAAGUGUGGAAAAGAAAGCAAUCCCAAUGUAAACACCAAGGCAGAGAGGGCUUCUUCAUUUUCCCUUUGCAGAGUGGGGCACUGAUGAAGGUCAGCUCCUAAGAACAGCUGUUUUCCUGGGAAGAGCCCCUUCCCCAGCACAGAAUGCACGUGGUACUCGUUGAGAAUCCCUAAUAGGUUUUCUCCCCUCCCUCCCCCCAAAGUUUCAAGUUCAAUAAAUAGUAGAAAAAUAAUCCUUUACUUAAAAAUCUUGAGAUGCAUUGUCCCAGGUCCCGCACAGCGACGUGGGCACAGGGAUCUCUCCACCUGCAGAGAAGCCAGCAGCCUUCCCUGCUCUGCCUGCCACUUCUGGGCUCUCCAGCUGCAGAUUCCUGCUCUUCCAGUUAAGGAAACCAAAUCAUCUCUGGCUCUUUAAGCUCUCUCUCUACUCUUGGCUCAGCACAACAAACUCCAGCUGCUGGAUAAACUCCCAUCCCUGUUCCUGGAGGUCUAACGUGCCUCCUGCUCCAUCUGUCUCCAUGUUUUGGCAGGUCCAUUCAUCAAGCACUUUUCCAGGCCAGAGCCAACCUUACACUUGUAAAAAUGCAAAGUUCUGAUGCCUCAGUUUGGUGGGGAAGCCUGUGAGGUUGUCCCUGGGGAGCAGCACAGUCCCCGUGGCUCUGGAGUGGCAUUUGUGGUGUCCUCAGUGCACAGUGCCACAGCCUGCAGGUGGUGGCUGUGGUGUCCUGUCACAGUAUCACAGCCUGCAGGAGGUGGCUGUCCUGUCACAGCCUGCAGGGGGUGGCUGUGCUGUCCCAGUGUCACAGCCUGCAGGAGGUGGCUGUGCUGUCACAGGGGGUGGCUGUGCUGUCACAGGGGGUGGCUGUGCUGUCCCCAGUGUCACAGCCUGCAGGAGGUGGCUGUGCUGUCACAGGGGAUGGCUGUGCUGUCCCCAGUGUCACAGCCUGCAGGAGGUGGCUGUGCUGUCACAGGGGAUGGCUGUGCUGUCCCCAGUGUCACAGCCUGCAGGAGGUGGAUGUGUUGUCCCCAGUGUCACAGCCUGCAGGAGGUGGCCGUGCUGUCACAGGGGGUGGCCGUGCUGUCACAGGGGGUGGCUGUGCUGUCCUGUCCCAGCCUGCAGGAGGUGGCUGUGCUGUCACAGGAGGUGCUGUGCUGUCCCCAGUGUCACAGCCUGCAGGGGGUGGCUGUGCUGUCCCCAGUGUCACAGCCUGCAGGGGGUGGCUGUGCUGUCACAGGGGGUGGCCGUGCUGUCACAGGGGGUGGCUGU